rnacentral:lncRNA from 1 species
UGUAACUCAUAUAAGUAUAGGGGACUACAACUGACACAUCUGGGACUCAAGCAACUCAUGGGAAAUCAUUCUGGCACUUUGUUGUUCUCCUAUGAUAAUGCCUGCAUGUAACACUAUUAAUUGAAACACACUCUUACUAUAUAUUCUUUAAUAUACAUAAAAGAAAACUCUAGUUUUUUCUUCUUGAAUGUCUCAUGUUACUGGUUAUAAAACCGUACCGUCACAGAGAUAUUUUCGUUGAUUUUUUUCUUUUUUUGUUCAAUCAAAAUCGCGGAGCUUGGUUCAAAUCCUCAUGCCUCAUUACAUUACAUGAACAACCAUUAAUCAAAUAUCAACAAUUUAUAAUAGCAAAUUUAUCAAGCAGAAUAUAAUAUGGAAUGGUACAGAUCACCGGCAGAACAAGUAUCUUCUUCCUGUUUCCCGGCAUUUGUAUUUUUUAUAGGAGGAAAGGGAGGGAGGAAGCUUUAGAUGCUUGAGGGACAAGUCCAGAACUCCAGAUUAUGUACCAGUGAGUGAGUGUGAUGAAGGACGCAAGGAGUGACGACAUUCCUGAAAUCGCCGACGAAGAAAAUACACUGUCUGUAGUGAUGUGCCUCUUAGAGAAUUUGUUCGGACCUAUCGCGUAGCUAUCCUGUGUUUCUAACUGCAGAUACUACGUCCGUCGGUACGAUUUUAGUUGCUGUGGUUGUAUAGCUAGUCAAACUAGUGACUAGGAUCCCUACUCUUUAGGAUAGACUCGAACAAGAAUGUACACUCAAUGGUAGCUUGUAUAAACAACUAGUCUUUAUCCAAGUCCCA